UAAGAAUAUUCCUCCUGUCCGGACAGACA
rnacentral:piRNA from 1 species